GUGACCAAGCUCCUCCCCCCAUCUCUAAGGGAGCGUCCAGCCCCCUGCAGAGGAAGCUCAUUUCAGCCGCCUGUGUUCGGGACCUGGUUCUUGGGUCAUGACACAGAGCUCAUGACCAUAGACCGAUACAGCGACCGCAUGACUACGGACGCCGCUCUGAUCCGCCUGUCAAUCUCACGCUCCAGCCUUCCCUCACUCGAGAACAAGACCCCAAAGUAUUUAAACUCCUCCACCUGGGGCAGGGAUACUCCACCCACCCAGAGAUGGCAAACUACCUUACGCCGGUCGAGAAAUGCAGCAUGAAGUUCAUAAAACAGCUUGAAUCA